CCUACGGGAGGCAGCAGUGGGGAAUAUUGCACAAUGGGGGAAACCCUGAUGCAGCAACGCCGCGUGAGUGAAGAAGUAUCUCGGUAUGUAAAGCUCUAUCAGCAGGGAAGAAAAUGACGGUACCUGACUAAGAAGCCCCGGCUAACUACGUGCCAGCAGCCGCGGUAAUACGUAGGGGGCAAGCGUUAUCCGGAUUUACUGGGUGUAAAGGGAGCGUAGACGGUGUGGCAAGUCUGAAGUGAAAGCCCGGGGCUCAACCCCGGGACUGCUUUGGAAACUGUCAUGCUGGAGUGCUGGAGAGGUAAGCGGAAUUCCUAGUGUAGCGGUGAAAUGCGUAGAUAUUAGGAGGAACACCGGUGGCGAAGGCGGCCUGCUGGACUGCGACUGACGUUGAGGCCCGAAAGCGUGGGGAGCAAACAGGAUUAGAUACCCGGGUAGUC
rnacentral:rRNA from 1 species